GGGCACUAUGAGGGGCUCGCGGCCUAUCAGCUAGUUGGCGAGGUAAUGGCUCACCAAGGCGACGACGGGUAGCUGGUCUGAGAGGAUGGCCAGCCACAUUGGGACUGAGAAACGGCCCAG
rnacentral:rRNA from 1 species